ensembl:lncRNA
GAGGAAGAGGAGGUCAGAGAGAGAGAGAGGAAGAGGAGGUCAGAGAGAGAGAGAGGAAGAGGAGGUCAGAGAGAGAGAGAGAGGAAGAGGAGGUCAGAGAGAGAGAGAGAGUAAGAGGAGGUCAAAGAGAGAGAGAGAGAGAGAGAGGAAGAGAAAGGCAGAGGAGGUCAAAGAGAGAGAGAGAGGAAGAGAAAGGCAGGAGGUCAAAGAGAGGGAGGAAGAGGAGGUCAAAGAGAGAGAGGAAGAGGAAGGCAGAGGAGGUCAAAGGGAGAGAGAGAGAGGAAGAGGAAGUCAAAGAGAGAGAGGAAGAGGAAGGAAGAGAAAGGCAGAGGAGGUCAAAGAGAGAGAGGAAGAGGAGGUCAAAGAGAGCUAGGAAGAGGAAGGCAGAGGAGGUCAAAGAGAGAGAGAGAGAGAGGAAGAGGAGGUCAGAGAGAGAGAGAGAGAGGAAGAGGAGGUCAGAGAGAGAGAGAGAGGAAGAGGAGGUCAGAGAGAGAGAGAGAGGAAGAGGAGGUCAAAGAGAGAGAGAGAGAGAGAGAGAGGAAGAGAAAGGCAGAGGAGGUCAAAGAGAGAGAGAGAGGAAGAGAAAGGCAGGAGGUCAAAGAGAGAGGGAGGAAGAGGAGGUCAAAGAGAGAGAGGAAGAGGAAGGAAGAGGAGGUCAAAGAGAGAGAGAGAGAGGAAGAGAAAGGCAGAGGAGGUCAAAGAGAGAGAGAGAGAGAGAGAGGAAGAGAAAGGCAGAGGAGGUAAAAAGAGAGAGAGAGAGAGAGGAAGAGGAGGUCAAAGAGAGAGAGGAAGAGGAAGGAAGAGGAGGUCAAAGAGAGAGAG